CACGUAGGGCGCAAGCGUUGUCCGGAAUUAUUGGGCGUAAAGAGCUCGUAGGUGGUUUGUUACGUCUGCUGUGAAAACCUAGGGCUUAACCCUGGGCUUGCAGUGGAUACGGGCAGACUAGAGGUAGGUAGGGGAGAAUGGAAUUCCUGGUGUAGCGGUGAAAUGCGCAGAUAUCAGGAGGAACACCGAUGGCGAAGGCAGGUCUCUGGGCCACUACUGACGCUGAGAAGCGAAAGCAUGGGGAGCGAACAGG
rnacentral:rRNA from 1 species